UACAGAGGGUGCAAGCGUUAAUCGGAAUUACUGGGCGUAAAGGGCGCGUAGGCGGCCUUCUAAGUCGAACGUGAAAUCCCCCGGGCUCAACCCGGGAACUGCGUCCGAUACUGGGAGGCUUGAAUCCGGGAGAGGGAUGCGGAAUUCCAGGUGUAGCGGUGAAAUGCGUAGAUAUCUGGAGGAACACCGGUGGCGAAGGCGGCAUCCUGGACCGGCAUUGACGCUGAGGCGCGAAAGCCAGGGGAGCAAACGGG
rnacentral:rRNA from 1 species